rnacentral:rRNA from 1 species
UGAUUCAUGACUGGGGUGAAGUCGUAACAAGGUAACCGUAGGAGAACCUGCGGUUGGAUCACCUCCUUA